ACUUAAAUUGAAGAGUUUGAUCAUGGCUCAGAUUGAACGCUGGCGGCAGGCCUAACACAUGCAAGUCGAGCGGUAGCACAGAGAGCUUGCUCUCGGGUGACGAGCGGCGGACGGGUGAGUAAUGUCUGGGAAACUGCCUGAUGGAGGGGGGAUAACUACUGGAAACGGUAGCUAAUACCGCAUAAUGUCGCAAGACCAAAGUGGGGGACCUUCGGGCCUCAUGCCAUCAGAUGUGCCCAGAUGGGAUUAGCUAGUAGGUGGGGUAACGGCUCACCUAGGCGACGAUCCCUAGCUGGUCUGAGAGGAUGACCAGCCACACUGGAACUGAGACACGGUCCAGACUCCUACGGGAGGCAGCAGUGGGGAAUAUUGCACAAUGGGCGCAAGCCUGAUGCAGCCAUGCCGCGUGUGUGAAGAAGGCCUUCGGGUUGUAAAGCACUUUCAGCGGGGAGGAAGGCGGUGAGGUUAAUAACCUCAUCGAUUGACGUUACCCGCAGAAGAAGCACCGGCUAACUCCGUGCCAGCAGCCGCGGUAAUACGGAGGGUGCAAGCGUUAAUCGGAAUUACUGGGCGUAAAGCGCACGCAGGCGGUCUGUCAAGUCGGAUGUGAAAUCCCCGGGCUCAACCUGGGAACUGCAUUCGAAACUGGCAGGCUAGAGUCUUGUAGAGGGGGGUAGAAUUCCAGGUGUAGCGGUGAAAUGCGUAGAGAUCUGGAGGAAUACCGGUGGCGAAGGCGGCCCCCUGGACAAAGACUGACGCUCAGGUGCGAAAGCGUGGGGAGCAAACAGGAUUAGAUACCCUGGUAGUCCACGCCGUAAACGAUGUCGAUUUGGAGGUUGUGCCCUUGAGGCGUGGCUUCCGGAGCUAACGCGUUAAAUCGACCGCCUGGGGAGUACGGCCGCAAGGUUAAAACUCAAAUGAAUUGACGGGGGCCCGCACAAGCGGUGGAGCAUGUGGUUUAAUUCGAUGCAACGCGAAGAACCUUACCUGGUCUUGACAUCCACAGAACUUAGCAGAGAUGCUUUGGUGCCUUCGGGAACUGUGAGACAGGUGCUGCAUGGCUGUCGUCAGCUCGUGUUGUGAAAUGUUGGGUUAAGUCCCGCAACGAGCGCAACCCUUAUCCUUUGUUGCCAGCGGUUCGGCCGGGAACUCAAAGGAGACUGCCAGUGAUAAACUGGAGGAAGGUGGGGAUGACGUCAAGUCAUCAUGGCCCUUACGACCAGGGCUACACACGUGCUACAAUGGCAUAUACAAAGAGAAGCGACCUCGCGAGAGCAAGCGGACCUCAUAAAGUAUGUCGUAGUCCGGAUUGGAGUCUGCAACUCGACUCCAUGAAGUCGGAAUCGCUAGUAAUCGUAGAUCAGAAUGCUACGGUGAAUACGUUCCCGGGCCUUGUACACACCGCCCGUCACACCAUGGGAGUGGGUUGCAAAAGAAGUAGGUAGCUUAACCUUCGGGAGGGCGCUUACCACUUUGUGAUUCAUGACUGGGGUGAAGUCGUAACAAGGUAACCGUAGGGGAACCUGCGGUUGGAUCACCUCCUUACCUUAAAGAA
rnacentral:rRNA from 1 species